CACCCCUAAACAAUAUCCCCUUGCUGUCAUCCGCUCAGCAUCCUCACCAAGGCCCCGGAUGAACGGCCCUCAUCAGUGUCCCGUCAGAAGCACCCCCACUGUCUCUCCUCUCAGCAGUGGCCCCUCAUCAAGAUGCCCUCAGCGUCAUCUCCGCCACACCAACCUCCACUCAGCCUCUCCUCAGUAGCUCCCAUGCACUGUCUCCCCGCCCAUACGGCCUCACCAACACCCCGAGCAACACAGCCAAGAGUGCCCCAUGCCCGGUGCCUCCCAGAAGCACCCCUUGCCAACAUCUCCUGGCAGGCAUGCCCACAUCAUCACCAACGUCAGUCCACAGCAUCCCCUCAUGAAAUUCCCCUCACCAGUGUCUGCUCACCACCAAUCCUUCACCAACCCAUCCCCCUGAGCAACCUCGCACCAGUGUCCCAUGACCACCAUUCCCUUACCAACCUCCUCUUCCAAUGUCUCCUCACCAGCGUCCCUCAGAUAUGUCCCCUCUCCAGGGUUCCUUCAACAGUGUCUCCUCCAAGGGUCACCUGGACAACUUGCUCACACCAGUGUCACCUCACCACCACCCCUCUCAGGUGUGCCCCACUCCCUCAUCCUCAUGACUCACGAUUAUUACUGACAAGUAUCCCUUCACCGUCACCUUCUUACCAACUUUCCCAGACAACAUCCCCACACCGGGGUCCCCACACCAGGGUCCCCACACCAGGGUCCUCACACCUGCGUCCCCACACCAGGGUCCUCACACCUGCGUCCCCACACCAGGGUCCUCACACCAGGGUCCCCACACCAGGGUCCCCACACCAGGGUCCUCACACCAGGGUCCUCACACCUGCGUCCCCACACCAGGGUCCCCACACCAGGGUCCUCACACUUGCGUCCCCACACCAGGAUCCUCACACCAGGGUCCCCACACCAGGGUCCUCACACCAGGGUCCCCACACCAGGGUCCUCACACCAGGGUCCCCACACCAGGGUCCUCACACCAGGGUCCCCACACCAGGGUCCUCACACCAG
rnacentral:lncRNA from 1 species